rnacentral:rRNA from 1 species
UACGGGGGGGAGCAAGCGUUGUUCGGAUUUACUGGGCGUAAAGGGCGCGUAGGCGGCGCAACAAGUCACUUGUGAAAUCUCCGGGCUUAACCCGGAGCGGUCAAGUGAUACUGUCGUGCUAGAGUGCGGAAGGGGCUACUGGAAUUCUCGGUGUAGCGGUGAAAUGCGCAGAUAUCAGGAGGGAACACCCGGUGGCGAAGGCGGGUCUCUGGGGCAACAACUGACGC